rnacentral:rRNA from 1 species
GACGAACGCUGGCGGCGUGCCUGAUACAUGCAAGUCGAGCGGACUGAUUAAGAGCUUGCUCUUAUGACGUUAGCGGCGGACGGGUGAGUAACACGUGGGCAACCUGCCCUGUAGAUCGGGAUAACACCGAGAAAUCGGUGCUAAUACCGGGUAAUAUCUGAGAUCACAUGAUCUUAGGUUAAAAGAUGGCUCCGGCUAUCACUACAGGAUGGGCCCGCGGCGCAUUAGCUAGUUGGUAAGGUAAUGGCUUACCAAGGCGACGAUGCGUAGCCGACCUGAGAGGGUGAUCGGCCACACUGGGACUGAGACACGGCCCAGACUCCUACGGGAGGCAGCAGUAGGGAAUCUUCCGCAAUGGACGAAAGUCUGACGGAGCAACGCCGCGUGAGUGAUGAAGGGGUUCGGCUCGUAAAGCUCUGUUGUUAGGGAAGAAACAGUACCGAACGAACUAGGUCGGUACCUUGACGGUACCUAACCAGAAAGCCACGGCUAACUACGUG